rnacentral:rRNA from 1 species
ACGGGUGAGUAAUGCAUAGGAAUCUGCCCGGUAGUGGGGGAUAACGUGGGGAAACCCACGCUAAUACCGCAUACGUCCUACGGGAGAAAGCGGGGGAUCUUCGGACUUCGCGCUAUCGGAUGAGCCUAUGUCGGAUUAGCUGGUUGGUAAGGUAACGGCUUACCAAGGCAACGAUCCGUAGCUGGUCUGAGAGGAUGAUCAGCCACACUGGGACUGAGACACGGCCCAGACUCCUACGGGAGGCAGCAGUGGGGAAUAUUGGACAAUGGGCGAAAGCCUGAUCCAGCCAUGCCGCGUGUGUGAAGAAGGCUUUCGGGUUGUAAAGCACUUUCAGCGAGGAAGAAAGCCUCUGGGUUAAUACCCCAGAGGAAGGACAUCACUCGCAGAAGAAGCACCGGCUAACUCCGUGCCAGCAGCCGCGGUAAUACGGAGGGUGCGAGCGUUAAUCGGAAUUACUGGGCGUAAAGCGCGCGUAGGUGGCUUGGCACGCCGGUUGUGAAAGCCCCGGGCUCAACCUGGGAACGGCAUCCGGAACGGCCAGGCUAGAGUGCAGGAGAGGAAGGUAGAAUUCCCGGUGUAGCGGUGAAAUGCGUAGAGAUCGGGAGGAAUACCAGUGGCGAAGGCGGCCUUCUGGCCUGACACUGACACUGAGGUGCGAAAGCGUGGGUAGCAAACAGGAUUAGAUACCCUGGUAGUCCACGCCGUAAACGAUGUCGACUAGCCGUUGGGACCUUUAAGGACUUAGUGGCGCAGUUAACGCGAUAAGUCGACCGCCUGGGGAGUACGGCCGCAAGGUUAAAACUCAAAUGAAUUUG